UACGUAGGGUCCGAGCGUUGUCCGGAAUUACUGGGCGUAAAGAGCUCGUAGGUGGUUUGUCGCGUUGUUCGUGAAAACUCACAGCUCAACUGUGGGCGUGCGGGCGAUACGGGCAGACUGGAGUACUGCAGAGGAGAGUGGAAUUCCUGGUGUAGCGGUGAAAUGCGCAGAUAUCAGGAAGAACACCUAUGGCGAAGGCAGCUCUCUGGGACGGUACUGACGCUGAGGCGCGAAAGCGUGGGGAGCAAACAGG
rnacentral:rRNA from 1 species